rnacentral:RNase_P_RNA from 1 species
UUUUGGGGCCGGUUCGCCGCUCCAGGUUCUUUGAUCCCUGUUGGCGGGUAAAACUGCCGACUGUAGUUAAUGCUUGGAGAGGAAAGUCCGGACACCGUAGGGCAGGAUGCCGCACGAGCUUCACGGCAAGUGCGGGCAGCGCGUUUUAAGGCGCGUUGACGGAAAGUGUCACAGAAAACAAACCGCCGCGCGGGCAACCGCGAGGUCAGGGUGAAAAGGUGGGGUAAGAGCCCACCGCGUCGUCAGCAAUGACGGCGGCACGACAAACCCCUUCCGGUGCAAGGCAAAAUAGGUGGCUGGGCUGCUCGUCCUAUAGCCACGGGUAUGCUGCAGCGGACUUCGGUCCGCAGUGGGCGCAAGCCCGCUAGAGAAAUGGCGAACACCGGCCGCAAGGCCGCGCACAUAAUCCGGCUUACAGGCUCCAAAACCAA